GCAUGUAGCUCCUUGGUAGAGCACUUGCCUAGCAUGCACAAGGUCCUGGGUUCAGUCCCCAGCAGUG
rnacentral:tRNA from 1 species